CGUAGGGACCGAGCGUUAUCCGGAUUCAUUGGGCGUAAAGAGCUCGUAGGCGGCUAUCCAAGUCGAACGUGAAAUCUCGGAGCUCAACUCCGAGCCUGCGUUCGAUACUGUAUGGCUAGAGUCUGGUAGGGGGAUCUGGAAUUCCUGGUGUAGCGGUGGAAUGCGCAGAUAUCAGGAGGAACACCGGUGGCGAAGGCGGGAUCCUGGGCCAGUACUGACGCUGAGGAGCGAAAGCGUGGGGAGCAAACAGGAUUAGAUACCCUGGUAGUCCACGCCGUAAACGAUGGGCGCUAGGUGUGGGAGGUCAUCGACUCCUUCCGUGCCGCAGCUAACGCAUUAAGCGCCCCGCCUGGGGAGUACGGCCGCAAGGCUA
rnacentral:rRNA from 1 species